rnacentral:rRNA from 1 species
UAGGGAAUCUUCGGCAAUGGGGGGAACCCUGACCGAGCAACGCCGCGUGAGUGAAGAAGGUUUUCGGAUCGUAAAGCUCUGUUGUUAAGGAAGAACGAGUGUGAGAAUGGAAAGUUCAUACUGUGACGGUACUUAACCAGAAAGGGACGGCUAACUACGUGCCAGCAGCCGCGGUAAUACGUAGGUCCCGAGCGUUGUCCGGAUUUAUUGGGCGUAAAGCGAGCGCAGGCGGUUAGAUAAGUCUGAAGUUAAAGGCAGUGGCUCAACCAUUGUAGGCUUUGGAAACUGUUUAACUUGAGUGAAGAAGGGGAGAGUGGAAUUCCAUGUGUAGCGGUGAAAUGCGUAGAUAUAUGGAGGAACACCGGUGGCGAAGGCGGCUCUCUGGUCUGUAACUGACGCUGAGGCUCGAAAGCGUGGGGAGCGAACAGG